rnacentral:tRNA from 1 species
GGCCCUGAAGUGCUCCACAUGGGGUUGCAAACCCCAAACCGCCGAUUAUUUCUGCCGGGGCC